AGUGAACGCUGGCGGUAGGCCUAACACAUGCAAGUCGAACGGCAGCACAGUAAGAGCUUGCUCUUACGGGUGGCGAGUGGCGGACGGGUGAGGAAUACAUCGGAAUCUACUUUUUCGUGGGGGAUAACGUAAGGAAACUUACGCUAAUACCGCAUACGACCUACGGGUGAAAGCAGGGGAUCUUCGGACCUUGCGCGAUUGAAUGAGCCGAUGCCGGAUUAGCUAGUUGGCGGGGUAAAGGCCCACCAAGGCGACGAUCCGUAGCUGGUCUGAGAGGAUGAUCAGCCACACUGGAACUGAGACACGGUCCAGACUCCUACGGGAGGCAGCAGUGGGGAAUAUUGGACAAUGGGCGCAAGCCUGAUCCAGCCAUACCGCGUGGGUGAAGAAGGCCUUCGGGUUGUAAAGCCCUUUUGUUGGGAAAGAAAAGCAGCAGGUUAAUACCCCGCUGUUCUGACGGUACCCAAAGAAUAAGCACCGGCUAACUUCGUG
rnacentral:rRNA from 1 species